UAAUAUUUUUCACCACUCCAGCUGCAUCCAGCUCCAGCUCCAGCGCCGAACACGGUGUUCUUCCAUCGGUCCUCUCCUCACGCGAGCCCGCGCCGCCGCGUUCGCCGUGACUCCUCCCGCAUCCUCCCACCCGCCAACGCCGGCGGCUUCAGUGGCGACAGCCACCUCUUCGUCGCGGAUAGGCUCUCCAUCUCUCAAGGCCGCCACGUCCGCGCGCGUCAGUAUGCGUCUCAGGUUCAACCUUUGGGUUCCCCGUAACCGCGCGAUCCGCUAGUGUGCACACGGGUCCAACGGGUCAAAGCGAUGGAGGCGGGAGACACCGGCGGCCGGAACGGGGUGCGGCGGUGCUCCGGCGGACGGGGAGAGGCGGAGGAGGAGCCGGCGGAGUGCCUCGUGCCCGGGGAAAGCUCAAAUCUCGGAGCAGCAGUUCAGAUCCAAGAAAUGGCCAGCGCAGGUAUCUGAAGUAGUGGCUGGAUCAAUGACCAUACCUGGAGGAGGACCCGCAGGGUCACAAGCUGCCGGUCACGUUCCUGGAGACGUCCGGCAAAGAUGCGCUGCUCCCUCACCUUUUGCAGGACGACGACGCUCAGCACGCCGGCUGCAAGGGCCAGCAGCAGCAGGAACGCGUAGGGGAGCUUCCUCCCGGCGUUGGCCAUGGCGUAACCUUUUGAUCGGAUCCUAGCCUUGUUUGCUGCAGGAAUGUGAAUAAUCUGGAGCUACAGCUUUUUCCUUGGGUUUCCUGGGUUUGGGAAUGGCAGGGCUUUGCAGAGUUUCUUGUGCAUGGAGGUCACUGGUCAGGAGGGAAAUACAGCUGAGCCUCUUAGGGGAGAAGUGCUACUAACAACCGAAAACUGCAUUUGUACAUGCUCUGGACGGUCCGAUCACACAUCAGACGGUCCAGGACGAGCGCCUUGGAGGUUGGAGCUUGCGCAGGAGAUCACCCGACCGACAGUCCAUGGUUUAAUCAGAUCACCGAAUUCUGAAGUCAACAUCGAUGUAAGGGUGCAAUUAAUGAGAGGAGAUUCUUCUAUGCUUGUUUCUCAGAUCUCCAGGCAGAGAUGGCCUCAGGAUGAGUAAACUAUUCAUGGAGCAGCAGCACGAUUAGUGCUCCACCACGCAGGAUCCAAUAUACCUCACGGCUCCAUCAAACUGCGUGUGAAAACACUAACUAAAGUCCAAAUGGGAUUGCCAAGGACGAAGAUGGUAUACACUUGGUGGUACUAGUUCCAGCUUACAGUCAUGUGAUUGCGGUGAAAAAAACAAAAACCAUUUUACUUGUGACGAGGAGAUUGAUGACGCCAUGACUAGAGGAAGAAGAAGCACCUGUUCUGUUUGUUUUUUCAGACUGGGAGGCAUAGAUUAUAGAGUAACAGGUUGAUGAAGUGUUCGUGCAGAAAAAAGAAAUGGUGAUGGAGUAGUUGUGACUUGUGAACUGUGCCUGUGAACACAACCAACGGCACAGGUGAGCGUUGAUGGGCUUCACGUCGAUGCCUACCCCGGCUGAAGACCUGAUGAGUGAUGACAUGGCAUCAACAUUCCUUGUUGGUUGCAGCCAUGAUGAAGCGGCUUACGCUGUCGGCAGGAACUGCUGCCUUUUCUAAAAGGAAAUGGACGGACAUGAGGCUUAUUUGCGCGGCGACGCUGUCGGCAGGAACUGCUGCCUUUUCUAAAAGGAAAUGGACGGACAUGAGGCUUAUUUGCGCGGUGGCUAGUAUCAUUUUAAGUUUUUUUUCUCAAAGAUUUUUUUUGACAAUUUGUGAGAGCAGAGGGCCCCGCUUCGUCCCCAAGGGCAACAGGCAUUCUAAUUUACGGGCAACCGUACGGAGAGUUUUGUACGGUCGAUUUCCGACCAACUUUUAUUUUCCUUUUUUUGCUAUUAUUUUGUCGUUUUGUGACAAAAA